rnacentral:lncRNA from 1 species
UGCGGAGCUGGGCGGCGCCGACUGGAGCGCGAGGGGCUCCUGGGCCUCGCCCGGCUCGGAACGCGUCUGCCUGCGGCCGUCAGCAUCAGGGGACCGGGCCGCGGGGUCGUCUCGCGCCGCCGGGGCUCAGUGAGGCCACCAGAUACCGGAGGUGGCAUUUGUUGAGUGUUUCCGGUGCCUGAAGCUCUGAUAAGCGCCUUCAUCCAUGAUAGUUAUCCUUGUGACAGGCUCCUGAGGUGAGUACGUACUUAUACUGGUG